CCGCACUGUUUUAAACCCCCCACGAGCUGCCUGUCGCUUUUGGGACAAGAAAAAGUGCAAGAGAAAAAUCAAGAAUUAUCCAAAGCUGAACGUCUGUGCAGUGACCUUCAGCUAUUUCACCUCUUGAACAUUA
ensembl:snoRNA